GGCCUCUCUCAAAUUAUAUGCAUGCCUAGCAUUCCUAUCUCAGAACGAGGCUAAGUGAGUACAGCCACCGUAGCAACGCAUACACAAUGGCUUCCAGUCAAGCUACAUGUAGCAAAAACAAACAACAUUAUUGUGCACAAAAUUGUGUAUCCAAUGGAAGUUAUGGUGAUUAUAUUAAUUUCACCAUAUUCCAAAAGAUGAGGAUAUCAAAAAGCAGUUGAUUGUAAAAAUAAGAAGAGAUGAAGGGCCAUUAUUCAAGUGAUGAGGCCAUGUGUAUUGAGACACAAGUGGAAGAAGAGUGUAGUAAAGAUAACACAGAAUCAGAAGAAAGCAGGACAAAAAGGAGAAAAAUAGAGACAGUGUUGGAAACAGCCAAAAACAACAUAAAAAUCUUGAAGAACAACUGUCUGAAAAGGAGAAAGAGUUGACAUGCUUACGUCAGCAGUUUAGCAUUGAAAACAUUUGUGUAAAUAGAUUUUCAACAGAUGAUUCUCUAAUUUCUGAUUAUUAAAACAAGAUCUGAGUGUUCCAUUUUCAUAAAAUAUAUUUAAAACAUACUUUAGUACUCCUUUUCUAAUUUUUGCUGAACACCCAAAAGAGAGCAUGGUGGUAUUUUACCAAAUUUUGAUUCUACCGCUGGUACGUUCAUUUGUGUUAAAGAAGAGAGAAUCAAUAAAUCAAGUGGUACUGAAGAUAGACUUCCAUACUUUGUGUCCCAUUUAACAUUUUCUCCACGAAUGGGGUUGAAUGAGGUUGUUUUCAGAUUUUCUCCCCUCUUGGGACUUGCCAAGUUUGUGGCCGAGAUGUCUUUGCAAUUUCAACUGGGAUAGCUCUUUGACUUAUAAUCUUGAAUUUCGCAAGCUGGUACAGCCUUACUCACUUCAAGAGUGUUGAUAUCACCUAAACUCACCUGUAAUGGAGUUAUGAUAUCCUUAUAAAUAAUACAUUAUGUUUACGUCAUGGCAAACGUUGUAUGUAUUGGUUAUCUGUAUCAAAAGUGAACGACACGAAAUAAAUGCAUUGAUAUAUUUACAUUGA